rfam:Rattus norvegicus chromosome 11, whole genome shotgun sequence.
GGGGAUUUGGCUCAAUGGUAGAGCGCUUGCCUAGGAAGCGCAAGGUCCUGGGUUCGAUCCCCAGCCCCG